rnacentral:rRNA from 1 species
GAUGAACGCUAGCUACAGGCUUAACACAUGCAAGUCGAGGGACCGGCGCACGGGUGAGUAACACGUAUACACCCUUCCCUGUACUCGGGAAAAACCUUUCGCCAGAACGAUUAAUACACAAUAUAAAGGAUGGGGAGGGGUUCAAGUAGGUUGUUGGUGAGGUAACGGCCCAACAAGGCUUCGAUGGCUCGGGGUUCUGGGAGGAAGGUCCCCCACAUGUGAACUGAGACACGGACCAAACUGCUACGGGAGGCAGGGGAGAGUAAGAUUGGGCAAGGGGCGUUAGCCUGAACCAGCCAAGUAGCGGAAAGGAUGAUUGCGUAUGGGUCUUAAUUUUGUUUGAUAGAAGAAUAGGUAGUAUAUGAAUAAGGAUCGGCUAACUCCGUGCCAGCAGCCGCGGUAAUUC